CCCGCGACGGACGCGGUGUCUGGGCCAGGCAGCCGCCGCGGCCCGCGCAGACUCGGUGGCGCCACUCGGACACCUGCUCGGGCCCAGACUCAAGUCAUGUUCUGAAUUCUGUCCGGCCUCUUUUCUUCUCGUGAUCAACAAGCGGUUUCAUUGAUUCCAGAGAAGUGUCUUAACACCCACCCACUCGGACAGUGACCCAGAGAGUUUGGAAAGGCAGAUGCCGCCUGCAUUUCACAGAGGAAGAAACUGAGGCAGAGAUGAAUGACAGACCCCUCUCUGGUGGCCUAGACUCCAGCCUACACUUCCUGGGACAGCUCCCUGCCGAGGUGCAGAGCAAAUGCAGACCUGUCCGAGGCCACCCUGCUGUGAGGAAGUCUUGCCUGCAUGAAGAGGCCACACCAGCAAGGGCUAAAGGAGGGGCCGGCCCCAGGCGCUCCAGCCAUCCCCGCUGAGUAAAGGGAGCCCCUUGGACGUCCAGCCCAGGAGGAUGAGCGCAGCCCCAGCCGCCGACUGACCACACGCACCCGAGACCGGAGCGAGAGUGCCCGCUCCAGCCGGCCAGGGGCCUGGAGGAGAAUGCGUUGUUAUCUUAAACCACUGCCUUUGGGGCUGGUCUGUUACAUUGCUGACUACAGUGGCCUCCAGCAGAGAAACUAGGGGAAAAAUAUUAAAGUUUCUAAGUACAAUUUUGUUCAUUUGUUGUAGUUGUAAUGGUUGAUAAUUUGUUUGGGUUUUUUUUUUACUCCCCCAAAAUCUCAGAACAACGAAUGAUUAAAAAAUAAACAUAUCCCCACAUCCAACAAAAAGUGCCUUAUUUAUAAAAGAAAUACGGCUUUUAUUUGACAUUUUGUGUCUAGUAUAUACUCAGGUAUGUACUGUGGAUCUCUUGUAGCCAAUGGGAAUUCCUGCCAGCGUCCCUGCAAUGCGCAGAUGUCCACGUGUGCGUGACAAUUGUAUGUUUGAACCGUAAGAGCAUCUGCUGGAUGCCACAGACACUGCAGAAACGAUGCAUGGAAACAGCUCAGAGGCCGCACUUCUCUUCAUCGAGGUUUUAAGGCGAUUUCAACAUUUUAAAAACACAUACGGCGUGAA